rnacentral:rRNA from 1 species
UACGUAGGGUGCGAGCGUUGUCCGGAAUUAUUGGGCGUAAAGAGCUCGUAGGCGGUGUGUCGCGUCGGCCGUGAAAACCUGGGGCUCAACUCUGGGCGUGCGGUCGAUACGGGCAUCACUUGAGUUCGGCAGGGGAGACUGGAAUUCCUGGUGUAGCGGUGAAAUGCGCAGAUAUCAGGAGGAACACCGGUGGCGAAGGCGGCCUUCUGGGUCAAGAUUGACGCUCGAUGCACGAAAGCGUGGGGAGCAAACAGG